CCUUGCUAUUGGCUUACUGCUCUCCCCUUAGCCUGAGGUACUCCCGGAACAGUCCAGACACACUCCCCACGCAGGCCUUUACUCUGCCUGAGGUACUCCCGGAACAGUCCAGACACACCCCCCACGCAGGCCUUUACUCUGCCUGAGGUACUCCCGGAACAGUCCAGACACACUCCCCACGCAGGCCUUUACUCUGCCUGAGGUACUCCCGGAACAGUCCAGACACACUCCCCACGCAGGCCUUUGCUCUGCCUGAGGUACUCCCGGAACAGUCCAGACACACUCCCCACGCAGGCCUUUACUCUGCCUGAGGUACUCCCGGAACAGUCCAGACACACUCCCCACACGGGCCUUUACUCUGCCUGAGGUACUCCCGGAACAGUCCAGACACACCCCCCACGCAGGCCUUUACUCUGAGGUACUCCCGGAACAGUCCAGACACACUCCCCACGCAGGCCUUUACUCUGCCUGAGGUACUCCCGGAACAGUCCAGACACACUCCCCACACGGGCCUUUACUCUGCCUGAGGUACUCCCGGAACAGUCCAGACACACCCCCCACGCAGGCCUUUACUCUGCCUGAGGUACUCCCGGAACAGUCCAGACACACUCCCCACGCAGGCCUUUACUCUGCCUGAGGUACUCCCGGAACAGUCCAGACACACUCCCCACGCAGGCCUUUGCUCUGCCUGAGGUACUCCCGGAACAGUCCAGACACACUCCCCACGCAGGCCUUUGCUCUGCCUGAGGUACUCCCGGAACAGUCCA